UACGUGAAACAUGCAACCCGGACGCCUU
rnacentral:sRNA from 1 species